rnacentral:rRNA from 1 species
CCUACGGGAGGCAGCAGUGAGGAAUAUUGGUCAAUGGGCGGGAGCCUGAACCAGCCAAGUCGCGUGAGGGAAGACGGUCCUCUGGAUUGUAAACCUCUUUAGGCGGGGAGCAAUGCCGGGCACGUGUGCCCGGAGGGAGAGUACCCGCAGAAUAAGCAUCGGCUAACUCCGUGCCAGCAGCCGCGGUAAUACGGAGGAUGCGAGCGUUAUCCGGAUUGAUUGGGUUUAAAGGGUGCGUAGGCGGAUUUUUAAGUCAGCGGUAAAAUGUCCGGGCUCAACCCGGGCCGGCCGUUGAAACUGGGGAUCUUGAGUGGGCGAGAAGUAUGCGGAAUGCGUGGGGUAGCGGUGAAAUGCAUAGAUAUCACGCAGAACUCCGAUUGCGAAGGCAGCAUACCGGCGCCCGACUGACGCUGAGGCACGAAAGCGUGGGGAUCGAACAGGAUUAGAUACCCGAGUAGUC